AUUGAACGCUGGCGGCAGGCCUAACACAUGCAAGUCGAACGAGUGGCGGACGGGUGAGUAAUGUCUGGGAAACUGCCCGAUGGAGGGGGAUAACUACUGGAAACGGUAGCUAAUACCGCAUACCAUUUGAUGUGCCCAGAUGGGAUUAGCUUGUAGGUGAGGUAACGGCUCACCUGGGCGACGAUCCCUAGCUGGUCUGAGUGGAUGACCAGCCACCCCGGAACUGGGACCCGGUCCAGACCCCUACGUGAGGCAGCAUUGGGGAAUAUUGCACAAUGGGGGCAAGCCUGAUGCAGCCAUGCCGCGUGUAUGAAGAAGGCCUUCGGGUUGUAAAGUACUUUGAGCGGGGAGGCGUUACCAACAGAAUAAGCACCGGCUAACUGCGUGACAGCAGCCGCGGUAAUAC
rnacentral:rRNA from 1 species